CUCGAAGCUUGUCGUGUUCACAGAGGAAGCCAUUACUCCAACUUGAUUAUGACCUACAGGUGAGAGGUCACAGCAUCGCGGUCUCCUAUUGGUCAUGUAGGAAGCAGGAAGCAGCAAAAGCGCGGCUUCCUCUGUUGGCUUAACAACAAACUGGCUAAAAAAUGGGAAAUCUCACACGACUGAAAAAACUAAUUAACGAGGAGAUUUCGAAAAGAGGCCCACUGAAGCUUAUAAAAUAUCUUCAGAGGAAAAAGCUACUUAAAAGAAAAAUAAAAUGCAAAGUCUGCCAGCAGAAAAUGGAACUGAAGAAAUGGGUGAACAACGGAGACCAAUAUGCUUGGAUCUGUCGUGGAGCAGCACAUGGUGGACACGUCAAACAAACCUCCGUCAGACACAAGUCACUUUUCAGCCGUUCUAAAGUCUCACUUCAACGCUGGAUGCAAUUUAUCUACAGAUUUUCUCAGGGUCUGCGAUUACAUCAAAUCGACAUGAUAGAUGACACCAUUGCAGGCAGCACAACAACACUUAGUAAAAUGUCCAAAAAAAUAAGGAGGGUAUG